rnacentral:rRNA from 1 species
UGAAGAAGGCCUUCGGUUGUAAAGACACUUUUGUCCGGAAACGAAAACUUCCUGGUUAAUACCUGGGAGGAUGACGGUACCGGAAGAAUAAGCACCGGCUAACUACGUCGC